rnacentral:rRNA from 1 species
UACGGGGGGAGCAAGCGUUGUUCGGAUUUACUGGGCGUAAAGGGCGCGUAGGCGGCGCAACAAGUCACUUGUGAAAUCUCCGGGCUUAACCCGGAGCGGUCAAGUGAUACUGUCGUGCUAGAGUGCGGAAGGGGCUACUGGAAUUCUUGGUGUAGCGGUGAAAUGCGUAGAUAUCAAGAGGGAACACCUGCGGCGAAGGCGGGUUGCUGGGCCGACACUGACGCUGGAGGCGACGAAAGCCUAGGGGAGCGAACAGG